rnacentral:miRNA from 1 species
GCAGACACAUUCCAGCCAAUCAGCAGCAGACCCUCCCUCCCAGACCCUCCCACCUCCUGGACAGCUCACUAAUAAUGCAGCUUCACAAUGAAUGUAAAAUGGAUGCUGUCCAGGAGGUGGGAGGGUCUGGGAGGGAGGGUCUGCUGCUGAUUGGCUGGAAUGUGUCUG